rnacentral:lncRNA from 1 species
GCCCUUACACAUGAGCUACAUUUAUCACCUUGUAUGACAAUGUCGUUCCUGGCUUCAGACUCAAUGUAAACUCAUUUGUUCUGCUGAAGCAUGUGUUUUAUAUUGUCACUUGGCCAACUCUCCUGUUACACCUGUCUCCUGGGAGGUGGCGAGGAGACUCCUCCAUUCUUUAACUCACACACACACACACACACACACACACUUUUUUUUUUAGUUUAGUAUAUGUUGUUGUAAAUUAAAGAAAAUAUACUGGAAUAGAAAUUUUCAAAUAUCAGGAAAAUCAGAUAACUUUGAUAUUUUAUCAAAAAUCUAUAUGGAAUUUGGAAAAAACACACUGUGUUUAGAGUGUCAAUUGUUAAGUCAACAACUGGAGUCACUGUGCACUUACUCCUCAUGUAGGAUCUCUGUCUUUAAUGUGUUGUACAAUGUGAAUUAAUGCUAUAACUAAUAUUCAAACAGUACUUUACACUUUGUGUUUCUGUGUGGGUGCAAACUGUUGAAAUCUUUACUUACUAUAUACUAAAUUGAUCUUCUGUAUAUAAAGAGAAUUGAAAAUGAAUCUUGAUGCAAAUGGAAUGGGAGAGGGAGCGGGAGAUGGGAGGGCUGCGGGUGGGAGGGAAGUUAUAGGGGGGAGGGGAAGCCACUGAAAUCCAAAAGCUGUACUUUGGAAAUUUAUAUUUAUUAAAUAAAAGUUAAAAAAAUACAGUGUGUUUAAAAACUUGUAAUAAAAUUAUAAUAUAAUAUAAUAAAAAUAUAAUAGUAUUCUAUAAUAGGAGAUUGCAUUAUUCAUUGGACUAUGAAAAUAAAGCAUCAAUAAAAUAUUUUAGGUCCAUAUUUACAGAUUACAGCAUAGCUUUUGCAAACAUUGAUACUCCUCAAAAUGUUGGUAAAGUGGGGAAUAACAGCAGUAUGUAGUAGACAGAAAUUAUUCCCUAGUGCUGGAAGGUCCAUGGAUAUUUAUUUCAAGAUAGCAUCCAAUAUUACACAGAAUAUUAUAUGCAACCAAGUAACAUGUAGAAAAUUUAACCUUUUUCUAUUUUUUUUGCAGGUGAACUCAGCUUUUACUUCAUUUAUCUUCCUGAGAGGCUAGUGCACUGGCACAAAGGACAUCAAUGCACAUCAGCAGUGACUUGAGUUUACCACGAAAGAACUGGGAGAACAACAUUAGAAGACAUGGGCCCAACUGAGUCUCCUCUGCCCCUGCCCGGUGAGCACUAGAUUUCCCAGAGAGAAGGCAUUACUUUAGAAUUGCUAAGGGUAUCAGGUAACAAAGAAAAAUAAAGCCACAGUUAACAAAGAAUAAAGCA